rnacentral:rRNA from 1 species
AGGACGAACGCUGGCGGCGCGCUUAACACAUGCAAGUCGAGCGAGAACCAGGGCUUCGGCCCUGGGGAAAGCGGCGAACGGGUGAGUAACACGUGAGGAACCUGCCCUGGAGACCGGGAUAACACCGGGAAACCGGUGCUAAUACCGGAUGCCCUCAUCGGACCGCAUGGUCUGAUGAGGAAAUGGAUUCCGCUCCAGGAUGGUCUCGCGGCCUAUCAGCUUGUUGGCGGGGUAAUGGCCCACCAAGGCAUCGACGGGUAGCUGGUCUGAGAGGAUGUCCAGCCACACUGGGACUGAGACACGGCCCAGACUCCUACGGGAGGCAGCAGUAGGGAAUCUUGCACAAUGGGCGAAAGCCUGAUGCAGCGACGCCGCGUGCGGGAUGACGGCCCUCGGGUUGUAAACCGCUUUCAGCAGGGACGAAAUUGACGGUACCUGCAGAAGAAGCCCCGGCAACUACGUGCCAGCAGCCGC